rnacentral:ncRNA from 1 species
UUUUGGUAGUGUUUGGAGGUGACUCUUUUUUUAAUAAUUAUAAUUAACUAAAGUGUUCGCCAGAAUAUUACGGGCGAAAAGCCUAAAACUCAAAAGACUUGGCGGUGCUUCAUACUCACCUUAGAGGAGCCUGUCCUAUAAUCGAUACUCCACGAUAUACCCAACUACUUUUUGCAAACUCAGCCUAUAUACCGCCGUCGCCAACUUACCCUGUGAAGGUAAAAUAGUAGGUAAAAAAGUCUGCCACACAAACGUCAGGUCAAGGUGUAGCUUAUAAAGUAGAAGAGAUGGGCUACAUUUUUUAAACAAAACACUACGACAUAGUGCCCUGAAACUAGCACUUAAAGGAGGAUUUAACAGUAAAAUAAGCAAGAAGACUUAUUUUAAAUUUGCUCUGAAGCGCGCACACACCGCCCGUCACCCUCCUCACAAACAACUUAAAAUACAUAAUGAAACAAAACAAAAAGAUGAGGUAAGUCGUAACAUGGUAAGCGCACUGGAAAGUGUGCUUAGAUAACAAAAAGU